rnacentral:lncRNA from 1 species
GUCUUCUUCCGUUUCCGGUCUUGUUUGCAUGAGACUUUGAAUAAAAUGUAUAUUUAUCAACAUAUCAACAAAUAUAGGAAGGAAUUCAACACCCAAUCAUUUUUAAUAAUUGUUUGAUAUGAAAAAAACGUUACCUGGAUAACAGAGUUUCUUUGUUUACAUUGAAUAUGACGUCAUAACUUAAAUAACGUCACAACUAAACCCCUAACAACAGAACCAACAUCGGAAACGUUACGGUAUUUCCGUUUUUUUUUAUCAACAUGUUUGAAUUAAAAAAAAAAAAAAUUACAGACUUCGUCC